UUUAGACUUAAGAGCUAUUCAAAUAAGGCACAGCUUAUUUGAAAUAGGACACAACCUACAACAUAGGGUAAACUAGAGUGACCUAAAUAAAGUGGGCCUAAAAGCAGCCACCUUUAGAAAAGCGUUAAAGCUUAACUACCUUCACUCAUAAUGCCUAAAAUCUCCACUAACCCUUCAUUACUACUGAACAAUUUUAUACUCAUAUAAAAGCUAUCAUGCUAGAACUAGUAACAAGAAACUGCUUUUCUCCUAAAUGUAAACAUAAACCAAAAUAGACUCUCUAUUGGUUAUUAACGUAAAUGCUAAACUGUAGCAACACUCACUAGAAAAUCCUAUAAACCCCAACGUUAACCUUACACCAGAACAUUACAGGAAAGAUUAAAAGAAAAAGAAGGAACUCGGCAAAUUUUAGCCUCGCCUGUUUACCAAAAACAUCGCCUCUUGACAAAACAUAAGAGGUCCAGCCUGCCCAGUGACAAAGUUCAACGGCCGCGGUACCCUAACCGUGCAAAGGUAGCACAAUCACUUGUUCUUUAAAUGAGGACUUGUAUCAACGGCACUACGAGGGCUAUACUGUCUCCUUUUUCUAAUCAGUGAAACUGAUCUCCCCGUGAAGAAGCGGGGAUUAUAAUAUAAGACGAGAAGACCCCAUGGAGCUUUAAACUCACCAUGCACCUCUGUGCUCCUAUACCCCUAAACACAACAGACCUGCAUGUUAGUUUUAGGUUGGGGUGACCACGGAGUAUAACUUAACCUCCACAGCAAACGGGCUAAUACCCUUAUCCACGAGACACAACUCUAAGAAUUACUAAACUAAUGCUUACGACCCGAUAUUCGAUCCAUGAACCAAGUUACCCUGGGGAUAACAGCGCAAUCUACUUCAAGAGCCCAUAUCGACAAGUAGGUUUACGACCUCGAUGUUGGAUCAGGGUAUCCCGGUGGUGCAGCCG
rnacentral:rRNA from 1 species